GAGGAAUAUUGGUCAAUGGGCGAGAGCCUGAACCAGCCAAGUCGCGUGAAGGAAGACUGCCUUAUGGGUUGUAAACUUCUUUUAUACAGGAAUAAAAAGGCUUACGUGUAGGCCAUUGCAAGUACUGUAUGAAUAAGCAUCGGCUAACUCCGUGCCAGCAGCCGCGGUAAUACGGAGGAUGCGAGCGUUAUCCGGAUUUAUUGGGUUUAAAGGGUGCGCAGGCGGGCUUUUAAGUCAGCGGUGAAAUCUGGACGCUUAACGUCCAAACUGCCGUUGAAACUGUUAUUCUUGAGAGUAGAUAAGGUAGGCGGAAUGUGUUGUGUAGCGGUGAAAUGCAUAGAUAUAACACAGAACCCCGAUUGCGAAGGCAGCUUACCGGGCUACAUCUGACGCUGAUGCACGAAAGCGUGGGGAUCAAACA
rnacentral:rRNA from 1 species